AGGACGAACGCUGGCGGCGUGCCUAACACAUGCAAGUCGAACGAGGUCCAUCCGGUAGCAAUACUGGUGAAGAUCAAGUGGCGAACGGGUGAGUAGCACGUGAGCAACCUGCCCCGAAGACCGGGACAACACCGGGAAACCGGUGCUAAUACCGGAUAUCCCCACCGAGUCGCAUGGCUUGGUGAGGAAAUGGAUUCCGCUUCGGGAGGGGCUCGCGGCCUAUCAGCUUGUUGGUGAGGUAAUGGCUCACCAAGGCUUCGACGGGUAGCUGGUCUGAGAGGACGAUCAGCCACACUGGGACUGAGACACGGCCCAGACUCCUACGGGAGGCAGCAGUGGGGAAUCUUGCACAAUGGGCGAAAGCCUGAUGCAGCAACGCCGCGUGAGGGACGAAGGCUUUCUGAGUUGUAAACCUCUUUCAGCAGGGACGAUUGUGACGGUACCUGCAGAAGAAGCCCGGCAACUACGUGCCAGCAGCCG
rnacentral:rRNA from 1 species